ACAAUGGGGCGCAAGCCUGAUCCAGCCAUGCCGCGUGUGUGAAGAAGGCCUUCGGGUUGUAAAGCACUUUUGUUCGGGAAGAAAUCGUGCGAAUUAAUACUUUGUACGGAUGACGGUACCGAAAGAAUAAGCACCGGCUAACUUCGUGCCACC
rnacentral:rRNA from 1 species